UUUCGUUUUUCAGCUUCCGUUUCUUAUUUUCCCCUCACAGCUUCCGUUUCGGCUUUCAAUUCAUCAAUUCAUUCUACAUCCUUUAAUUACCUAAACGCGUCCAUGUGACGCUCAAGUUUGGGCAGCCGCUGUGAAUUCUCCACCAUCGAUCUCUGUCACCUACAAUUUUGCCCCUGUGCGUUCUCUCUGUCAUGGUUGUUGAUGCUGCGGAGAGCGAACUGAUCUUCAAAUCUCUGGUGAAGCUACUGUAGUUAAUUAAUUUCAUUCCUUUCGUCAGAUUUAUGGGUUGGUUCUUCUGCAAAAUGUAAAGCUCAAUUCUGGGUUGGUUCUUAUGCAAAAUGUAGAACUCAAUUGGUGCAUGUGCACAUUUUCCCCUUCUCUUACCGGUGAGAUAUAAUGUUCUAUCUUCUAAAGUUUUAAUAUUUUUUCUUCUUCUCCAGGUCUUCUACUUCUCCGGAUGUGACUCUUAUGGUAUUUGUUGGAAGGAGACCUCUACUGCCAUCGAUUUAACUAAUUUCAUAUUUUCAGUCAUGCUUAACAUAUGCUCUCAUGUAUAUAUUAUUUGUUCCGGGAGGAUGCCUAUAUUUUCAUAGAUAUAUUGUUCGUUGCUUUGAAUUGAAACCACAUAGCAUUUUCCUUUGAGAGAGAAGAUUGGAAAUUUGGCGUAGUAGAACACUAAUCUGUGGUGUUAGAUUCAUUUUUCUGUCUAAUACAGUGUUAGAUUCAUUCUACUAUCAAUCUGUUUGGUCAGAUUUAUCCUGUGUAGCCCAUACACUUAUUUUUGUUUCAGAUUUACACACUAGGAGCUUAGGUGGAAGCUAGGUAUCAGUACAUGUACUAGCUCCAAGGAUUCAGUGGUGUUUCUUCUGGCGCUUAAUUCGGUCCAGUAUCUGCAUCGAUUAAAGGAUACUAAUGGAAAGUAGUGGUUUGAAGCUGUUUGACGAUGCAGUUAGGAAACUUUGUUAUUCUACUCCUCCAAUCCAGCCAACACAAGGAACCUAUGCACCGGUCUAGGAACUAACGAUUUUUGUGAGAAAGUUUGGACUCAACUACUGAUGUGGUGAUAAUCAACACAAUGUCCUGAAUUUUCAGAGAGUUUUGAGGUCAAUGAUUUUAAUUGCAAGUUACAAAUUAGUUGAAAUAAAGUACUUGAUUGAUGUAUUGGAAAUUUAUUUUACAUUACCUGAUAAAUGAUUCUCCUUUUUUUUUUUUCUUUUUGCACUUUUAUACUGAACCACUUGAUGGGAAACUUUCUCUUCUCCAACUCUGUUCCUACCACUUAGGGCUUUCUCAAAUUGUGUAACUCGGUAAAAUAAAAAACAUAGCAAGCAUAGCACUGUAGGGUAUAUAAUGCAGUUCACUUUUAAUCUACUAUCGACCUAUGCUGCUUUGUGCAUUGUGUUUCUUUUUCGCCCAAAUUGAUUUUACAUCUUAGUGACCAUUCUCAUUCUUCCUUCCCUCUUAAGGUACAAAUAAAUGGAAUAUGGAGCUGCAAGUAUUGACCAGUUUAUUGUGGAGUCCCAAAGACUUUGCCACAAAGCAACAUAGUCUGCUUGUGAAGGUGACUCUACUUUGGAUCCCAUCGAAUCUCAGAGAGUUGUUGAACUCCUGAAUUCAGAGUUGUCUCCUUGCUCAAGUUGAAACCCAAGGAAUUCUGGAAACCGGGUUUGUACUUGCCUUUAUGUUUAAAAUCCGCCAUUGAUUCUGCAUAACAUGUUCUAUUUGAUUUUGCAGAACAUACUUCAAUGGAGACCAUUUGUGCAUCUAAAGAGAACCAUGUUAGUACAAAAUUCACUCAGAUCCAUUACUCAAUGUAUAAAAAUUGUAGCUUUCAGAAUUUCUCAUAUAGUACUCCCCUUCAUUUGGCACACAUGUACAACUUAAUCCAUAAAUGGGAAAGUCUUAUGUCAAUUUUGUUCAAUCCAUAAGAAGCAUGUACUCCGUGAGUUAGUGUUUGAAA